UAAGCAGGGAUGAGAAGCUAACAUGUAAGAAUACCCACUUGAGUGGAUUUUUCAAUGAAAUCUUCUUGUUACGCUUGGCUUCUAUGCUUU